GGGCCCGCACAAGCGGUGGAGCAUGUGGUUUAAUUCGAAGCAACGCGCAGAACCUUACCAGGGCUUAAAUGUAGUCUGACAGGGGUGGAAACACCCCCUCCUUCGGGCAGAUUACAAGGUGCUGCAUGGUUGUCGUCAGCUCGUGCCGUGAGGUGUCAGGUUAAGUCCUAUAACGAGCGCAACCCCUGCCGUUAGUUGCCAGCAUGUAAUGAUGGGAACUCUAACGGGACUGCCGGUGCAAACCGCGAGGAAGGUGGGGAUGACGUCAAAUCAUCACGGCCCUUACGUCCUGGCUACACACGUGCUACAAUGGCCAGGUACAGAGGGCAGCCACACCGCAAGGUGGAG
rnacentral:rRNA from 1 species